rnacentral:tRNA from 1 species
UGGCGGGGUAGGCUCAGGUGGUUAGAGCACACGACUCAUAAUCGUGGUGUCGCGGGUUCGAGUCCCGCCCUCGCUACCCA